GGAUGCAAUCAUACCAGCACUAAAGCACCGGAUCCCAUCAGAACUCCGAAGUUAAGCGUGUUUGGGCGAGAGUAGUACUGGGAUGGGUGACCUCCUGGGAAGUCCUCAUGUUGCAUUCC
rnacentral:rRNA from 2 species